rnacentral:rRNA from 1 species
UACGUAGGGGGCGAGCGUUGUCCGGAUUCAUUGGGCGUAAAGCGCGCGUAGGCGGCCCCGCAAGUCGGCCGUGAAAUCUCCCAGCUCAACUGGGAGGGGUCGGGCGAGACUGCGGGGCUCGAGGUGGGUAGAGGGCCGUGGAAUUCCGGGUGUAGUGGUGGAAUGCGUAGAGAUCCGGAGGAACACCAGUGGCGAAGGCGGCGGCCUGGGCCUGGCCUGACGCUGAGGCGCGAAAGCGUGGGGAGCAAUCCGG